CGUAAGGUCAUCACAACCGCAAGCUAGCACAUCACAAGAACAACAAGAACAACCACGAACAAAAGUUGCAGCAUGCCAAACAGAUCCUCCUUGUGUGGCAUCUCGCGGGACGCAGCUUUCUUUUACUACAUUGAGACCUCACCAACGAAGCAAAGGCAUACAGGCAACGCCGCAAUGCCAAAGUGUGGCAGUAGGCACAACGGCUCCUUCAGUCUCUGGGCCAUUCUCUUCAACUCCUUUGAAGGGUCAGAGGCCAGCAAAGAGACCUCGCCUUGAAUUUGAGGAGGAGGUGGAAGAUGUUUCCUCUGCAUGUGCUGAUCCUCAAGAUUCCACAUACGAUCCUGCACAGUCUGCUACAAUGGAGACAGAAUCAUCUCAGCUUUUUACAUCACCAGUGACUUCAUAUGGCGAUGCAAAAUACAUUGUUUUUGAGCAAUGCCUCUUCAGCCUGUUCGAGAUCUGCCCUGUGUGCACAAGAACCUGUACAUUCCUGCCACGCAGAAGAGGGUCCUUCCUAGCGAUCGACCAACUAUGCCCUCACUGCAAGUUCUUCCGACAGUGGAAGAGUCAGCCAGUUAUUGGGAGCACCCCUGUGGGCAACCUUCAGCUGUCUGCUGCCAUUUACUUUUGUGGAGCUUCAUUUUCAAAGAUGAAAAAGGUAUCAUUGUGCUCAUUGUCCCCUGCAGGAAGUGUUUGUCUUUCACUGAUGACUUCACAACUGAUCUACUUUUAAUUAUUUUAUAGAUAUUUGAUGCAAUGCAGCUGAGAACACACACGUAUGAUGCCUUCAGAAGAUAUUGUGUACAGAAAUGGGUUUUGUUUAGUGAAAGUGUGAGAUCAGGCCUAAUUGCCAGCCAUCAAAAUGCAAAUCAUUACAGUUUUAGGCUGCUCUAACUGAAAGGCACUUGUAACAACACCGGUUAGAGUACAGCUUUGGCACAGCCUACAGGUUUAGCCAAUGCUUUUGCUGUGAGUUAAUAGUAGUAUUUUGCUUGGUGUGUGCUUACAAAAGUGACAAGUGACAAUUGUUACAACAUUUCUGCUGUUUCAUUUAGGUUGUACCUUGCAGCUAUGCAUUUCAAUGAGAAUGCUCAGCGCCCACAACGGAAGACAGCCAAGGGGAAACUAAUGUACAGGCUUGUGUUUCCAAAGGCCAAAAGGGGAGGUUACACGGUCAAAAAAGUGAAGACAGAGCCAACGAUUUGCUAUGUCUUUAACCUGAUAAGACUGGUGUUCGAAGAGAUCGUCCAUGACUCCCUUCGUUAUGUGGAUGCCGUCCAGCAGAUUCCUGUGCCCCAAGACUUGUGUGCUCAGCUUCCCAGACCUUCCAGGGAGGAUGCUGUCGCUGAGCAUGUGUCACGGUUCAGUCGAGGGGGGGUCUGAACCCGACAUACUGCCCUGAUGUUUCCGGAAACUCCCUCCGUAUGCGCAGCACCACACAAGAGGGGAUCACAACACGGACACUUCGCCCAAGGAAACCCCAGCACCAGCUCACGAAAGAUCUGUAGGCCAAGUGUCUGCAUUGCCUUCAGAGAAAUCAGAGUGGAAAGGCACACUUUUUUACUAUUUAUUUUUUGAAUAUUUUAUAUUUUUGAGUAUAGCACUGUAUGAUUGUGUUGAAACAAAAUAAAGUUUGUCAUUUUAC